rnacentral:rRNA from 1 species
UGAGUACGAGAUGCUACGGCAUCGAAGCAGUCUAUGUCAUACUUCCAAGAAAAGCUUGCACUGUCAGAAACAGAUAAUGCCUGUACCAUAACCGACACAGGUGGGUAGGUAGAGUAUACUAAGGGGCGCGAGAUAACUCUCUCUAAGGAACUCGGCAAAAUGACUCCGUAACUUCGGGAGAAGGAGUGCCUUAUUUUUAAGGUUGCAAUAACAAGAUCCAAGCAACUGUUUACCAAAAACACAGGUCUCCGCUAAGUCGUAAGACGAUGUAUGGGGGCUGACGCCUGCCCAGUGCCAGAAGGUUAAAGAAGUCGGUUAGCAUUCGCGAAGCUGGUAACUGAAGCCCUGGUGAACGGCGGCCGUAACGAUAACGGUCCUAAGGUAGCGAAAUUCCUUGUCGGGUAAGUUCCGACCCGCACGAAAGGCGUAAUGAUUUGGAUACUGUCUCGGAGAGGGGCUCGGUGAAAUAGACUUGUCUGUGAAGAUGCGGACUACCUGCACCUGGACAGAAAGACCCUAUGAAGCUUUACUGUAACUUGAAAUUGAAAUUGGACUUUAUUUGCGCAGUAUAGGUGGGAGGCGUUGAAAAUAUUCUUGCGGGAAUAUUGGAGCCAUCAGUGAGAUACCACUCUUGUAAUGUUAGAUUUCUAACUUUAUAUCAUUAUCUGGUUAAAGAACAGUUUCAGGCGGGCAGUUUGACUGGGGCGGUCGCCUCCCAAAUGGUAACGGAGGCGCACAAAGGUUUCCUCUGAACGGGUAGAAAUCGUAUCUAGAGUGUAAAGGCAUAAGGAAGCUUGACUGUGAGACCUACAAGUCGAGCAGGGACGAAAGUCGGUCUUAGUGAUCUGACGGUGCUGAGUGGAAAGGCCGUCACUCAACGGAUAAAAGUUACUCUAGGAUAACAGGCUGAUCUCCCCCAAGAGUUCACAUCGACGGGGAGGUUUGGCACCUCGAUGUCGGCUCAUCGCAUCCUGGGGCGGUAGUACGUCCCAAGGGUUGGGCUGUUCGCCCAUGAAAGCGGUACGCGAGCUGGGUUCAGAACGUCGUGAGACAGUUCGGUCCAUAUCCGGUGUAGGCGUUAGAAUAUUGAGAGGAGCCUUCUUUAGUACGAGAGGACCGAGAAGGACAUACCUCUGGUGUACCAGUUAUCGUGCCAACGGUAAACGCUGGGUAGCUAUGUAUGGAGUGGAUAACCGCUGAAAGCAUCUAAGUGGGAAGCCCACCUCAAGAUAAGUAUUCUCA